rnacentral:lncRNA from 10 species
GUGAGCAGUGCUGACCCUACCCUGCGUCACAGCACAGUGGCCUCAUCAGAACCAAGACGACCAACCUUCUCCAGAGAAUGGACUUCUGUUGGGAGACUCUCCUCUUUCUACAAACAAAAUGGCCAGCUUGUUGAGAAUUUUUAGUACCAUUUGCAGAGCUCUCCAUAAUGUGAUACAGACUCUGGCCUGAAGAAAGCACAAAAUAAACAUGAACAAAUCAUAACUGUGCUUCAGUAGGAUCACCGAGAGCCAAGAUACAGAUUUGUGAGAUAACUACAAGUUUUGGUAUCAGGAUGAUGCUGGACUCAUAAAAUGAAUUAGGGAGGAGUCCCUCCUUUUCAAUUGUUUUUCCAUCUAUCCAUCUGACAAAGGUCUAAUAUCCAGAAUCUACAAGGAACUCAAACAAAUUUACAAGAAAAAAAACCAUUAAAAAGUGGUCAAAAAUAUGAACAGACACUUCUCAAAAUAAGACAUUUAUACAACCACCAAACAUAUGAAGGAAAAGCUCAACAUCAUUGAUCAUUAGAGAAAUGCAAAUCAAAACCACAAUGAGAUACAUCACAUCAGUCAGAAUGGCCCUUAUUAAAAAGUCAAGAAACAUCAGAUGCUGGCAAGAUUGUGCAGAAAUAGGAAUGCUUUUACACUGUUGGUUGGAAUGUAAAUCACUUCAAUCAUUGUGGAAGAUG